AACGAUCGCUGGCGGCAUGCCUAACACAUGCAAGUCGAACGAAGCCUUCGGGCUUAGUGGCGCACGGGUGCGUAACGCGUGGGAAUCUGCCCUUGGGUUCGGAAUAACAGUUAGAAAUGACUGCUAAUACCGGAUGAUGUCUUCGGACCAAAGAUUUAUCGCCCAAGGAUGAGCCCGCGUCGGAUUAGCUAGUUGGUGAGGUAAAGGCUCACCAAGGCGACGAUCCGUAGCUGGUCUGAGAGGAUGAUCAGCCACACUGGGACUGAGACACGGCCCAGACUCCUACGGGAGGCAGCAGUGGGGAAUAUUGGACAAUGGGCGAAAGCCUGAUCCAGCAAUGCCGCGUGAGUGAUGAAGGCCUUAGGGUUGUAAAGCUCUUUUACCCGGGAUGAUAAUGACAGUACCGGGAGAAUAAGCCCCGGCUAACUCCGUG
rnacentral:rRNA from 1 species